GCCCGCCAGGGUGUGCAGUGGGGCUGGGGCCACCGAGGCUCCAGCGAGGUGUUUGGAGAGUGGCUUUGAGCAUCGCCGGGACCUCGGGUGGGAGUCUUGUCAGAACAGCACUGUCGGGUGAGCACUCACCUACCUGUUCCUGGCCUGACCCCUGGGCGAAGCAGAAGAGCAGGACAUGAGGACCCCCCAGAGCCGCCCUGUGACCCCCGAAAUCAUGAAACCACCACCACCUGUGCCUCCCCACGUGGCGCUGCUCUGGGAGGAGGAGGGACCAUGCGGCGACAGCUCCAGGCUUUCCAGGCGCAGCCCCCAGAGGCCCAGGAUUCUGCCUCCACUGUGCCCCAGAACCUUCCACCACGUCCUGGGGAGGGGCCACCACCACCCAUGGGGACCGUUCCCCGGAGCCAAGGUCUCGGCCCCUGAUAAUGACCCCGCACGAGCCACAACUGGUGCCUUCGUGGUUGUCAGCUCGCUGGGGACAGGGCCGCAUCCCCCAGUUUUGUUUACGUCAGUGAGGAUGGACAUCCCAGGGCAGCUCAUGCACAACGUUCUUUCACAAACCACCGUCAUACAGUGUAAUUAGGAGUCUUCAAGCCCAAGUCACCAAAACAACACGAAUUACAAUUACGUUGGUCUCUUGGAUCUUGGAAAAUUAAAAUGAUAGAAACAA